GCGGUCAUGUUGGAAUUGGUAGACAAGCUUGGUUGAGGGCCAAGUGGAGCAAUCCAUUGAGAGUUCAAGUCUCUCUGACCGCACCA
rnacentral:tRNA from 3 species